CAAUCACAGGACACGUCACCUGUCAGGGUUGUUCCUGCACAGAGAGUAAAGGCCCUGACACACCAAGUCGGGCCGUCGGUGAGCGUCUGUCGCCCUAGUUAUUGCGGUGUGUCCCGCACCGUUGGCACUUCGGCGGUGGCGGCGGAGCUUGUCGGUGAGAGAGAUCACUCUGAUUGGCUGUUCAGGUUUUAUUUCCUCGCCCCUGUAGCGAGUGAAUCUGCCUGUAGAGGAAACACCGGGACCGUCUGGAUGUAAUAGUCUGUGUAGGUGCUGCGGUGCUCGGCUGCACAGAUAGGAAACCCCUCGGCUGACAGGAUGUACCACUCUCUCACUCCGCUCUCUCUCACGCAGGCGCAGAACGUACGUGCUACUUGGCCGUCGGAUGUAGUCCGUGUAGUGUGUUCAAAUGCAACUGACACAGGGCGACGUGAGGCAACGUGAGGCGACGUGAGGCGACGUAGACGACGCAACAGUUGGCUUUCGUCACCGCUAGUUCUUUGAUGUCGGUUUGGUAUGGUCUCGACAAAACUCUGACGGGUGUCAUAAUGACAGUCAUAGAUUUAUAGUUAAACAGUUUUACUUGGUAGAUUUCUGUUUCUAGAUUUGUAACUGCAGUUUGGGCAUUUUACCAACAUGAUGGCGCUGUUGUUAUCAGCACAGUGCACCGAGAAAGACGCAGACAAAUCUGCCACAGAGGAAGAAAAGAGCCGCCUGUCAGCGGCCAAUGUUUCACGUCGCGGUCACCAUAAUAAAACUCCUCUCCAAGCCGUUCAAUGAUAGUUUCAUAUUGCCAGUUGUAGUUUAUAAAUCCAGCUGCACCAGUAGAUUCAUAUGUGGUUUGUGAAUGCUGCUCCAGAGUGUGCGUGACUGCCGUCAUGUCCUGACACCACCUACAGUCGCGACAUGCACGGACAUAAAGCGUGUCUUUUAAUCAACUUUUUCCCCCUUUUAUCAAACACAAACAUUCAAACAGAUUCUGUAAAACUUUAUAUUAGUUAAUUACAACACACGAGAACAUGACUGCAACAUGUGGACUA